rnacentral:tRNA from 1 species
GGAGGAUACAGCUCAGUGGCAGAGUGCAUGCUUAGCGUGCAUGAGGUCCUGGGUUCAGUCCCCAGUCCCUCCA